rnacentral:rRNA from 1 species
CUGAGACACUGCCCGGACUCCUACGGGAGGCUGCAGCGACGAAUCUUCCGCAAUGGGCGAAAGCCUGACGGAGCAAUGCCGCGUGUGGGAUGAAGCGGUUACGCCGUGUAAACCACUGUCAGGACUUAGGAAGAACUGACCGAGUCCAAAGGAAGGGCCGGCUAAUCUCGUGCCAGCAGCCGCGGUAAUACGAGAGGCCCGAGCGUUAGGCGGAAUCACUGGGCUUAAAGGGUGCGUAGGCGGAUCAGUAAGCAUUUUGUGAAAUCCCUCGGCUCAACCGAGGAAUUGCAGAGUGAACUGCUGGUCUUGAGGUAGGCAGAGGUCAUCGGAACGUACGGUGGAGCGGUGAAAUGCGUAGAUAUCGUACGGAACGCCGAAGGGGUAGCCAGGUGACUGGGCCUUACCUGACGCUGAGGCACGAAAGCGUGGGGAUCAAACAGGAUUAGAUACCCU